rnacentral:rRNA from 1 species
CUACGGGUCGCUCCAGUGGGGAAUAUUGGACAAUGGGGGAAACCCUGAUCCAGCAAUGCCGCGUGUGUGAAGAAGGCCUGCGGGUUGUAAAGCACUUUCGGUUGGGAGGACUGCUUCUAGCACUAAUAUUGUUGGAAGUUGACGUUACCUUCAGAAGAAGCACCGGCUAACUCCGUGCCAGCAGCCGCGGUAAUACGGAGGGUGCAGGCGUUAAUCGGAAUUACUGGGCGUAAAGCGCGCGUAGGCGGCUAGAUCAGUCGGGUGUGAAAGCCCCGGGCUUAACCUGGGAACUGCAUCCGAUACUGUCUAGCUUGAGUACAGGAGAGGAGAGUGGAAUUCCACAUGAAGCGGUGAAAUGCGUAGAUAUGUGGAGGAACACCAAUGGCGAAGGCAGCUCUCUGGCCUGAUACUGACGCUGAGGUGCGAAAGCGUGGGGAGCAAACAGGAUUAGAUACCCCCGUAGUC